CGGCAACGAGCGCAACCCACACUUUCAGUUGCCAUCAUUCAGUUGGGCACUCUGAAAGAACUGCCGGUGAUAAGCCGGAGGAAGGUGUGGAUGACGUCAAGUCCUCAUGGCCCUUACGGGUUGGGCU
rnacentral:rRNA from 1 species